UAGUGAACCAGUACCGUGAGGGAAAGGUGAAAAGCACCCCGGAAGGGGAGUGAAAUAGAACCUGAAACCGUGUGCUUACAAGUAGUCAGAGCCCGUUAAUGGGUGAUGGCGUGCCUUUUGUAGAAUGAACCGGCGAGUUACGAUUUGAUGCAAGGUUAAGCAGUAAAUGUGGAGCCGUAGCGAAAGCGAGUCUGAAUAGGGCGUUUAGUAUUUGGUCGUAGACCCGAAACCAGGUGAUCUACCCUUGGUCAGGUUGAAGUUCAGGUAACACUGAAUGGAGGACCGAACCGACUUACGUUGAAAAGUGAGCGGAUGAACUGAGGGUAGCGGAGAAAUUCCAAUCGAACCUGGAGAUAGCUGGUUCUCUCCGAAAUAGCUUUAGGGCUAGCCUCAAGUGAUGAUUAUUGGAGGUAGAGCACUGUUUGGACGAGGGGCCCCUCUCGGGUUACCGAAUUCAGACAAACUCCGAAUGCCAAUUAAUUUAACUUGGGAGUCAGAACAUGGGUGAUAAGGUCCGUGUUCGAAAGGGAAACAGCCCAGACCACCAGCUAAGGUCCCAAAAUAUAUGUUAAGUGGAAAAGGAUGUGGCGUUGCCCAGACAACUAGGAUGUUGGCUUAGAAGCAGCCAUCAUUUAAAGAGUGCGUAAUAGCUCACUAGUCGAGUGACACUGCGCCGAAAAUGUACCGGGGCUAAACAUAUUACCGAAGCUGUGGAUUGUCCUUUGGACAAUGGUAGGAGAGCGUUCUAAGGGCGUUGAAGCAUGAUCGUAAGGACAUGUGGAGCGCUUAGAAGUGAGAAUGCCGGUGUGAGUAGCGAAAGACGGGUGAGAAUCCCGUCCACCGAUUGACUAAGGUUUCCAGAGGAAGGCUCGUCCGCUCUGGGUUAGUCGGGUCCUAAGCUGAGGCCGACAGGCGUAGGCGAUGGAUAACAGGUUGAUAUUCCUGUACCACCUAUAAUCGUUUUA
rnacentral:rRNA from 1 species